UAUAUCCUAGGAGUUGAUUUUCUGUACUGUAGAAAUGUGCAAGUUCUCUCAAGGUUAAUUUAUGGAAGCCUGCUGGUCUGUACAGUGUGAUCUUUUUGCAACCUGUUUGCUUCAAACAGCUGAAUCUUAAGAUUCCCUGAUUUGCUUACAAAUACAGUUUAACAGUGUUUUUUACUGUUUAAGAUCAAGAGUAUACACUUCUUUUGAUUUGGGUGGGAGGAGAGGCACUGAGAAAAUCCUGCUGAAAAUGUUGAUAUUAACAUUGCAAAUGUGAAGAAGAAAGUGGCUUUUGACAUUGAUUUUGCUACUGACUGAAAGCACUUUGUUGGUUGGCUGUCCAAAUUGCUGGUGUUCCAGUCGAACAUCUUCUGCAGAUGAUAAAAUUAAUGAGGCGUUUUUGACAUCUAGAAAUACAUUGUCUUAAAUGUUGGGAAAUGGUGUUUCCUCACUUAAACAUGACCUACGUGUAAGUUGUUGCUAAGAAUGGUUCUGUCACUUUCAUCUGUAGUGUCUGAUUGAUUAAAUCAGUAUUUUACUGGA